rnacentral:rRNA from 1 species
CCUACGGGUGGCAGCAGUGAGGAAUAUUCGACAAUGGGCUUACGCCUGAACCAGCGACGUCGCGUGAGGGAAGACUGCCCUCUGGGUUGUAAACCUCUUUUGUCAGGGAGCAACGCCGGCUACGUGUAGCCGGACUGAGAGUACCUGCAGAAAAAGCAUCGGCUAACUCCGUGCCAGCAGCCGCGGUAAUACGGAGGAUGCGAGCGUUAUCUGGAUUUAUUGGGUUUAAAGGGUGCGUAGGCGGAUUGCCAAGUCAGCGGUAAAAUCGCGGGGCUCAACCUCGCUCCGCCGUGGAAACUGGCGUUCUUGAGUGGGCGAGAAGUAUGCGGAAUGCGUGGUGUAGCGGUGAAAUGCAUAGAUA